AACGAACGCUGGCGGCAUGCCUAACACAUGCAAGUCGAACGAGACCUUCGGGUCUAGUGGCGCACGGGUGCGUAACGCGUGGGAACCUGCCCUUAGGUUCGGAAUAACUCUCCGUAAGGGGUGCUAAUACCGGAUAAUGUCUUCGGACCAAAGAUUUAUCGCCUUUGGAUGGGCCCGCGUUGGAUUAGCUAGUUGGUAGGGUAAAAGCCUACCACGGCGACGAUCCAUAGCUGGUCUGAGAGGAUGAUCAGCCACACUGGGACUGAGACACGGCCCAGACUCCUACGGGAGGCAGCAGUGGGGAAUAUUGGACAAUGGGCGAAGGCCUGAUCCAGCAAUGCCGCGUGAGUGAUGAAGGCCUUAGGGUUGUAAAGCUCUUUUACCCGGGAUGAUAAUGACAGUACCGGGAGAAUAAGCUCCGGCUAACUCCGUG
rnacentral:rRNA from 1 species